CACGUAUCAGAUAUUAAACUGAUAAGAACAGAUACUACACUUGAUCUUAGCCAAGAGGCCGAGAAAGGUAUGGUUUAAACCGUGGCCGUGUGUCCCCUUUUAUUGCACUACGAACCGCCUUCGCUCAAGUGCAAAGCGGUACGGGACUAUUCCACCGACGAGUCAAUUGCGUUCGUUUCUUUGCUCGGCCGAAGAGAUUCGCGGGGUAGCCUUGGCUCUGCGCCUGCUGCGCCUCCUACCGUUUGGGCUAUUCCAACAAGCCCGUGA
rnacentral:rRNA from 1 species